rnacentral:rRNA from 1 species
AUUGAACGCUGGCGGCAGGCCUAACACAUGCAAGUCGAGCGAGCGGCGGACGGGUGAGUAAUGUCUGGGAAACUGCCCGCUGGCGGGGGAUAACUACUGGAAACGGUAGCUAAUACCGCAUACCAUGAGAUGUGCCCAUAUGGGAUUAGCUAGUAGGUGGGGUAACGGCUCACCUAGGCGACGAUCCCUAGCUGGUCUGAGAGGAUGAUCAGUAACACGUGGACUUAGAGAGGGACCAGACUCCUAAGGGAGGCAGCAGUGGGGAAUAUUGCACAAGGGGCGCAAGGCUGAUGCAGGCAUGGGGCGUGUGUGAAGAAGGCCAUCGGGUGGUAAAGCACGUUAAGUGGGGAGGCGUUACCUACAGAAGAAGCACCGGCUAACUCCGUGCCAGCAGCCGCGGUAAUAC